AAUCCCGUGAACCAUCGAGUCUUUGAACGCAAGUUGCGCCCGAAGCCUUCGGGCCGAGGGCACGCCUGCCUGGGCGUCACGCAUCGCGUCGCCCCCCGCCCCGGCGGGGUGUGCGGAUACUGGCCUCCCGUGCGCCUCGGCGCGCGGCCGGCCC
rnacentral:rRNA from 1 species